AGAAUGAGAAGCAUGAUCCUGCAGCAUGGGUGGUUAGAUGCACAGCUCUGUCCACAUCCAAGAUCUUCACAAGAAAAGAAUGAUCUAUUGAAAGCAAGAUUCUGAGGAAGAUUCAGAUGUGCUCCUAUGCUAGCAUACUGCAGAAAGAUGAAGAACAUGUGGAAAAAUACUGAACACCAUAUGGGAAAUACAGAUGUAUUACCUUGUACUUUUCCAAGCUGAAUCAUCUCUAUUUUUUUCCUGACUGUAUUUCUACCAUCACUUAUUAAAUUGGUCCCACUGCUUCUCUCAAAAAUAGGUGGUUUCUUUACAUGCUAUUCUUUCAGAAUGUAGAAUUCAAAUAAAAGAGAUGCAAAACU